AACGAACGCUGGCGGCAUGCCUAACACAUGCAAGUCGAACGAGACCUUCGGGUCUAGUGGCGCACGGGUGCGUAACGCGUGGGAAUCUGCCCCUCGGUUCGGAAUAACACAGAGAAAUUUGUGCUAAUACCGGAUAAUGACUUCGGUCCAAAGAUUUAUCGCCGAGGGAUGAGCCCGCGUAAGAUUAGCUUGUUGGUGGGGUAAUGGCCUACCAAGGCGACGAUCUUUAGCUGGUCUGAGAGGAUGAUCAGCCACACUGGGACUGAGACACGGCCCAGACUCCUACGGGAGGCAGCAGUGGGGAAUAUUGGACAAUGGGCGAAAGCCUGAUCCAGCAAUGCCGCGUGAGUGAUGAAGGCCUUAGGGUUGUAAAGACUCUUUUACCAGGGAUGAUAAUGACAGUACCUGGAGAAUAAGCUCCGGCUAACUCCGUG
rnacentral:rRNA from 1 species